UACGGAGGGAGCUAGCGUUAUUCGGAAUUACUGGGCGUAAAGCGCACGUAGGCGGCUUUGUAAGUAAGAGGUGAAAGCCUGGAGCUCAACUCCAGAACUGCCUUUGAUACUGAGGAGCUUGAGUCCGGGAGAGGUGAGUGGAACUGCGAGUGUAGAGGUGAAAUUCGUAGAUAUUCGCAAGAACACCAGUGGCGAAGGCGGCUCACUGGCCCGGUACUGACGCUGAGGUGCGAAAGCGUGGGGAGCAAACAGG
rnacentral:rRNA from 1 species